rnacentral:misc_RNA from 1 species
GACGGAGGGCGCAAGCGUUGUUCGGAAUUACUGGGCGUAAAGCGCACGCAGGCGGUCGCCUAAGUCCCUUGUGAAAUUCCGGGGCUCAACCCCGGAGGUGCGUGGGAUACUGGGUGACUGGAGAACGGUAGAGGCUAGCGGAAUUCCUGGUGUAGCGGUGGAAUGCGUAGAUAUCAGGAGGAACACCGGUGGCGAAGGCGGCUAGCUGGGCCGUUUCUGACGCUCAUGUGCGAAAGCGUGGGGAGCAAACAGG